rnacentral:misc_RNA from 1 species
GAAACUUCAGGAAUAGAAAGGGUUCUCGCAGAUAGUCUUGAUCUAGUUGGCAGUACUAGAGAACAUUCAGAAUCUUGCUGCACGAAACCACCAGAGGUAGGGCAUGAUGCUGGUUACUUCGGACGACUCCAGCCUCUGAAAUCGAAUAGGGAUAAUAUAGAAUCGGUGGCGGACCUCGAUGGGAGUGAUUUAUUUUACAUCGGCGAUGGCGUCCGACUGCCACUGACUAUAAAGAAGUUGAAAGACGGUUCGUUCGCUCUGAGUAUAUCUGAUAGUUUUUGUCAGCAACGACUGGCCAGGAAGGAAUGCCCCUGCUGUGUUCCAAGGGAGGGAAAUAUUCUUCAAGAA